UCUUAAAAGAAAAUCCUCUUAAAUAUUCUCUCUCUAGAAGUUGGAAGAAGAUGGAAUAAGAGGAAUCUAGGUGAAGGUAAAGUAUGCAAUUAGCAAGAUUUUCAUCUAAUUAUAAUCAAGGGUCCGCGACAUUGACACUCAUUCUUGUGGCUAGGAUAAUAGUACCUCAUGAAAGUGAAGAUUGGAGUGUCCUCAUUGGAUUAGAGGAUGUCAUGACCACUUUAUUUUAUGUCUUUCUUUUAAGUCAUGGAUUAUUUCAUGAGUUAUGUACCUAAAUUAUAAUUAUGAUAUUUAGAUGGUUUGAGGCAAUGAUGUUAGACUUCCUCUACGUUUUAUAAAGAAUUUGACUGUAUUAAUAAGUUUAAAAUUAUCUCUCA